GUGGGUAGUUUGACUGGGGCGGUCUCCUCCUAAAGAGUAACGGAGGAGCACGAAGGUUGGCUAAUCCUGGUCGGACAUCAGGAGGUUAGUGCAAUGGCAUAAGCCAGCUUGACUGCGAGCGUGACGGCGCGAGCAGGUGCGAAAGCAGGUCAUAGUGAUCCGGUGGUUCUGAAUGGAAGGGCCAUCGCUCAACGGAUAAAAGGUACUCCGGGGAUAACAGGCUGAUACCGCCCAAGAGUUCAUAUCGACGGCGGUGUUUGGCACCUCGAUGUCGGCUCAUCACAUCCUGGGGCUGAAGUAGGUCCCAAGGGUAUGGCUGUUCGCCAUUUAAAGUGGUACGCGAGCUGGGUUUAGAACGUCGUGAGACAGUUCGGUCCCUAUCUGCCGUGGGCGC
rnacentral:rRNA from 5 species